rnacentral:lncRNA from 1 species
CAUCGUUCUGUGCUUCUUCGUAUCUUCAACAUAUCUAUCCUAAACUUUUGUUUCCAACAAAUUAAAACUAUCAUCACAAAAAAAACAACAUAGAACAUAUCAUCAAUCACCAAACCAAACCACAAGAAAUCGAUCGGCAUCUCAUACAAGCACCUUCUCGUCUAUCAGCAUAAUUUUGUACAAACAUCUCAAGAUGGAUCGCGCCAUCAUCAUCUCGUCCACCUCAGGAUUUAUCUCGCCAUCGAACAACAACAGCAAAGGCAGGCCUAUAACAAAACCAGAUCCAGAUCGGCUGGUGAAGUGCUCGGUUAGUUGCUGCAGCCUGCAGCGCGUAAAGCAAACACCCAGCGCUGCAGCAGUGCAGCGUGCUAAACCAUAUAUAAAACACAUGAUUGUGUUUAUUUUUCUUCUCAUAAGCAAACUCUUUCAUCGUGUUCUUGCUUUCUGUGAGUUAAUAUCACUACUGUUAACUGGUUAUUUCUCUUCUUCUUUUUCUUCGAUUUCUUUUUCUUCUCACAAUUUACGUUUCUUUGUGUUCUAGGUUUUUCUUCGAGCGAUUGAAGAUAUUGAAUUAAAGGUAAAUGACUUUAAUUUUUUUCUUGAUUUAAUUUUCUUUGUGUUCUAGGGUUUUCUCUUUCUGAAGAUUGUUUAGGUUUUAGUUUUGAAAUUCGGUUUAGUGACUAUAACUAAUAGCACUAUCUUCUUCUUCUUCAGAUCGAUCUGUUUUCUCUUAGGUUUCAACAAC